UACGUAGGGAGCAAGCGUUGUCCGGAAUCAUUGGGCGUAAAGCGCGCGUAGGCGGCCCCGUAAGUCCGCUGUGAAAGUCAAAGGCUCAACCUUUGAAAGCCGGUGGAUACUGUGGGGCUAGAGUCCGGAAGAGGCGAGUGGAAUUCCUGGUGUAGCGGUGGAAUGCGCAGAUAUCAGGAGGAACACCAAUUGCGAAGGCAGCUCGCUGGGACGUUACUGACGCUGAGACGCGAAAGCGUGGGGAGCAAACAGG
rnacentral:rRNA from 1 species